rnacentral:pre_miRNA from 1 species
AGGAACAACCAAAGUGGCGGGGUCAGCUCUAGAAACCUGGAUUCAGCUCCCACAGUAACUACGGAGCUCUCCAUCUGCAGGGGCCUGGAUGAUCCGGGGCGGG